rnacentral:rRNA from 1 species
GUGGGGAAUAUUGGACAAUGGGGGGAACCCUGAUCCAGCCAUGCCGCGUGUGUGAAGAAGGCCUUUUGGUUGUAAAGCACUUUAAGCGAGGAGGAGGCUACCGAGAUUAAUACUCUUGGAUAGUGGACGUUACUCGCAGAAUAAGCACCGGCUAACUCUGUGCCAGCAGCCGCGGUAAUACAGAGGGUGCAAGCGUUAAUCGGAUUUACUGGGCGUAAAGCGCGCGUAGGUGGCCAAUUAAGUCAAAUGUGAAAUCCCCGAGCUUAACUUGGGAAUUGCAUUCGAUACUGGUUGGCUAGAGUAUGGGAGAGGAUGGUAGAAUUCCAGGUGUAGCGGUGAAAUGCGUAGAGAUUUGGAGGAAUACCGAUGGCGAAGGCAGCCAUCUGGCCUAAUACUGACACUGAGGUGCGAAAGCAUGGGGAGCAAACAGGAUUAGAUACCCCGGUAGUCC